GUAGGGAAUCUUCCACAAUGGGCGAAAGCCUGAUGGAGCAACGCCGCGUGUGUGAUGAAGGCUUUCGGGUCGUAAAGCACUGUUGUAUGGGAAGAACAGCUAGAAUAGGGAAUGAUUUUAGUUUGACGGUACCAUACCAGAAAGGGACGGCUAAAUACGUGCCAGCAGCCGCGGUAAUACGUAUGUCCCGAGCGUUAUCCGGAUUUAUUGGGCGUAAAGCGAGCGCAGACGGUUGAUUAAGUCUGAUGUGAAAGCCCGGAGCUCAACUCCGGAAUGGCAUUGGAAACUGGUUAACUUGAGUGCAGUAGAGGUAAGUGGAACUCCAUGUGUAGCGGUGGAAUGCGUAGAUAUAUGGAAGAACACCAGUGGCGAAGGCGGCUUACUGGACUGUAACUGACGUUGAGGCUCGAAAGUGUGGGUAGCAAACAGGAUUAGAAACCCCGGUAGUCC
rnacentral:rRNA from 1 species